UCCCUGAAAAGGGGGCGGAGGUGGGGCGGGGAAAAGCGCGCCUGGGCGAGGCCGGAAAGAGAAGUAACCCGCAGGAAGGAAAGAAGCUGAGCUAGUGGGGACGUGACUGGGCAUGCGCCCGAGUUACCUGCCCGGCGCGGCCUUGCAAUGAAGCGUGGUUUACAGCUCCCAAGACGCACCAGCCACAGUCCUCCGAUUGGCAACCCCACGGGCUUCUGGGAGUUGUAGUUUUUCAGAGCCUUCGCUUCCUUGUCCUGAAAUGACCUAUCGCCCACUUCUCACCGCUCCUGGCCUGAGGGGCUCCGCGGCCUCCCGGGCGACUGGCCGAGUCACGGCUGGGUCUGGCCUCUAAGGCAGGGAACUGAAGGGCAGCCAUCGCGGAGCAGACAGUCGCUACGGCCCUGCCACUGCACAUAAUAGUGGAGCUCCAGGAGUGGGAAAAGAAGAAAAGCUGUCAUGCAAGCAUCCUUGAUAGAGGGUCCAUUUCUUUGUCAAGUCUCGAGUUGAUGACUGGAUUUUUACACAUAUUUGACAAUACAGUCCAAACACGACGGAAAUCAACUACAAAGUGAAAUUGCGCGUCUCACGAAAGAUAAUUUUAUGAGAUUGAUGAACGAAGGCCAAUGAGCUUAGUGCACAGUGAAAGAGGGGAAAAGACAUUGACAUUGAAGAGAUGCAGCUCCACAUGUAUGAAAUGACACCUGUAUGAAGUUUUUCAUUGUUGCAUUAUUUGUUCAGCAAAAGGUACCUGGUUAAAUAAACGAUGGUAUGAUAAGCAGCGGGAGAAACAAAUAAGGAAGAUCUCUAUGUACUAAUAUGAAAAGAGCUUUAGGAUGUAUUGGUAACAUUUAUUGAGACUUGACUGUGUACCAGGCACUGUGCUAUGGGUUUACACACAAGACUUGUUUAACCUUCACAACUACCCUGUGAAGUAGAGACCAUCAUAUCUUCUGUUUGCAGAUGGGAAAAAAAUGACGCCCAGAGAGCUUACCCAGUGUGUUCAAGGACACUCAGCUGGAAUGUAACAUAACUGAGAUUUCUACCUGGCUAUCUGCUGUCUGACCAUGGGGUCUUCAUUCUUUUUCUCCUUAAUUGAGGUAUAGUUGACAUAUAACAUUUUAUUAGUUUCAGGUGUACAGCAUAAUGAUUUGCUAUAUGUAUAUAUUGUACUGAUCACCACUGUAAUUCUAGUUAACAUCCAUCACCACACAUAGUUAUGAAAUUCUUUCCUUGUGACAAGAAUUUUGAAGAUCUGUUCUCUUAGGAACUUUCAAAUAUGCAAUACAGUCACCAUGCUAUUAACUAACAGCCACCAUGCUAUCUAUUACCUCUCCAGGACUUAUUUAUUUUAUAAUGGAAGUUUGUACCUUUUGACCACCUUCACCCAUUUUGCCCACCCCCCAGUACCCACUUCUGGCAGCAACAAAUCUGUCCUGUAUCUAUUAGUUCUUUUUUUUUUUUUUUUUUAGAUUCCACAUAUAAGUGAGAUCAUACAAUAUUUGUCUAACAACCAUUUUGGGGAAAUAUUUUCCUAAAACAAUAUUUAUCAAGAGCAGUUUAUUAUUCUAAUUAGAAAAAAUAAGUUCAUCAUAACGGAUAUGAUGUUUUCAACUACAUAAGGAGAGAAUUAAUUUCUUUUAAUCUGAAAUAGUUUUACUGUAAAAGUAAAUCAAUUAAUGAACUAGAAUAGAUAAUUCACAAAUACUGUAUAGAUUUCAAAAGGUAGAAAAUAAUAUACAGAGUGGAAUAAAACCUCCUUUUCACCCCUGUUUCCUAGCUACCACUUUCUUCUCCCUGCAAGCAACUAUUAUAUUCUAUAAAAGAGCAGGAUUUUUUUUAAAUAAAAGCAAUACAUACCUAUAUAAUACAUACACAUAUACAUGUACACACAUAUAAAAUAUAUGCAAAAUAUAUCAAAUGUUCACACAAGAAAAACAAUGUGCUGAGCAGUCCUAGGGAAUGAGAUGGAACGCAAAGACUUGAUGAAGAGUCUGUUCACAAAAAAGAGAGAGAAGUAGCUGAGAAAACUCUUUGGUGUUUUUCCAAUAUUGUCAGUUACCAGUUUACUUAAACUCCAAAUCCGUUUUCUUACAGCAAAGGAUACAUCUAGUUACAGCAAAGGAUAAAUCUAGAAUCCAUGCCACAUUAACUGCAUUAAAUGUAAAUGUCCACCACCUCAGCUUUCCCUACCUCGGAUGGCAAAUAAGAUAGGAACCAUGCAUUCCCAAGAGGCAACAGAGAUCCAGAGCACAAAAUGACAAAUCAAAUUUCCAAAAUGUACUAAAAACCUCUUCACUUACAUGGAAGAAGCCUAAAUAAAUCAAAAUCAUGGCACAAAAAUAACUUAGCCUCGAAUAAUUUUGUAUUAGGUUGUAAACAACUCUGAAUAGUCAUUUGGAACCAUGGUGUGUAAAGAGGGAGAGCUGUCUAUUAGGUGCAGGCAGCACCUUUAGUCUAGCCUGCAUGCUGUAGUCCAGCCUCUGGAUUGAUAAAGCU